GAUGAACGCUAGCUACAGGCUUAACACAUGCAAGUCGAGGGGCAGCGGGAUUGAAGCUUGCUUCAAUUGCCGGCGACCGGCGCACGGGUGAGUAACGCGUAUCCAACCUUCCGUACACUCAGGGAUAGCCUUUCGAAAGAAAGAUUAAUACCUGAUGGUAUCUUAAGCACACAUGUAAUUAAGAUUAAAGAUUUAUCGGUAAGCGAUGGGGAUGCGUUCCAUUAGGCAGUUGGCGGGGUAACGGCCCACCAAACCUACGAUGGAUAGGGGUUCUGAGAGGAAGGUCCCCCACAUUGGAACUGAGACACGGUCCAA
rnacentral:rRNA from 1 species